UGUAGAAGAAAGCGCAAAACUCUCACCAAUAAGAUAAGCUAUUUUUUUUUGGUUUAUAAUCAUGAAACGCAUAAUACUUUACGAUCGUUAGUUGGUGCUGUUAAUCAAAUCAGAUUGAUUUUGUUUAGUAAUCUACUUAUCAAUAAACAUAGUAAAUAACUAAAUUUAUUAAAUAUAGUAGUCAACUUAGUUCAAUAAUCAAAUUAUUCAAUAUAAUAUGAGAUGAUGUAUGUCAAACUACAAUUCUAAAUAGUUAUAAUAAAUUUAUCAUAAUUGAAUUAUCUAACGUAGUUAAAUACAUUAAACUAAAAAUUUUCAACGCGGUGGAAGUAUGGAUCUCAUAUCUUGUCGUCUACCUUUAUAAUAACCUACUUUUUUUUGGACUUAAACAGUCUACUUUUUAUGUCUAUUAAACUAUUAUACUAUUGUAUGUUUGGAUAUAAUUUUGGUUUGGUGAUACACGCUUAUACGGUGAUGUAUUAGUCGUCAGUUAAGAUUAUAAUAGGGACAUUAUAAUUCACAAGUAUGCAAAAAAAAAAACAUUAUAAUUCACAUGAAUAAAUACUGUAUUAUAUGAUAACUAUAGUAAAAUAAAAAUGAUAACGACCCUGAUACACUUUGCCAAUGAAUUAAUUGUUUUUGAGAUCAAACAAUCGGUCUGUCAUGUUGAUGCUAAGGUUUAUGUUUUUUUUUUCUUUUUAAAAUAGCUGUGUAGAUGACCCCAUCUAUGUCCACUUUUAUAUAGUGGCGUCCAAUAUAGUGUUUUUCAGAACUACCUAAAAAUAUCCAACAAUUAAACUAAACCGACCAUAUACUGCUAUUUUACUAAACCGAAAUGAACCAAACUUCUCUUUAGAAAAGGCUUUUACGACAAUUCAGUUGUCCAAAGAAAAGGAGAAGUAUGCUACAAGCAUAAAGUAGCCCUCAACGUAAACGAAAGAUAAAAAGUGGCCCAAUACGUAACCAACUCAAUUAAUUCCUUAGAAGAUUGGUCGAAACUUAGGGACAUUUAAUAACGUUGUUUCAUUAUUGUAUUAUUAGUGUGAAAAUUAAGUGUAUUGAUGAUGUGGAUGUGGUCACUUUAAAUGCGGAUGAAGACUAUAUAUGGUGAAUUUGUUUUGGGGGAAAUAUUUUAGAUUUUCAGUUCGAUAAAAAGAGAGGUGUGUGUGUGGCGAGAGACUCGAGAGAGUUGAUAGGUUUACGAGAUUAGAGGUUGACAAAGAAGCUGAAUACUUUUUGAAACAAAUAUUUACUUUAAUGUCAGCCGUUAAUUUAUCGAGAUACUAAUUGAACCAAAAACUCAACUUGAAACUAUAAAAUUAUAUUAAUUUAUAGAGAUAUUAAUUUAUAGAUUAUUAAUUUAAAGAGGUUAUACUGUAUAUGCAAUAUCAUCAUCACUAUAUGGGUAAUUGUUGUAAAUUGUUAUUUACUAAGUUAUUCCUCCCAAUAUAAGUAGUCAUCGCCCUUUGCUGUCUUGCAUCUCUUCCCUCUCUCUUUAUACUUGACUAAAGAUUCUAUCAUCCCUCUGUCUUGCAGCUUGUUCUACAGGAUUUCUUUGCAAAAAAAAAGGAGACUUCCACAAUCUUGUAUCAGAGAAAGGAUAUCAGAUAUGGCGACUACUUUGAAUCAACCCACAGAUGAAGAAGGAAUGGAUUCUGCUGAGAACGUCGCCUGAGCUCUGGGAGACCCAGAUUGAUACCAAGAGAGCAGCACUCCUUUUCCUAGUUUUUCUUUUUUCUCUUCUGUUUUUGGUGCCUACGCCUUAGAGUCGUGACAACAGACUCACGGAUCGCACCAGCUCCUCCAGAGGUAGAGCUCCAGCCAUAGGAAGGCAAUAAAAUUAGUACAUUUAAAAAAAAUACUUAGUUAACUUAUAUGUCUAGUUAUUUAUAAAUGUUUUUCUUUUUGUUAUUUAUAAAUGUUUCUUUGUUAUGUAUAAAUGUUGUACCU